rnacentral:rRNA from 1 species
GACGAACGCUGGCGGCGUGCUUAACACAUGCAAGUCGAACGGAAAGGCCCUGCUUUUGUGGGGUGCUCGAGUGGCGAACGGGUGAGUAACACGUGAGUAACCUGCCCUUGACUUUGGGAUAACUUCAGGAAACUGGGGCUAAUACCGGAUAGGAGCUCCUGCUGCAUGGUGGGGGUUGGAAAGUUUCGGCGGUUGGGGAUGGACUCGCGGCUUAUCAGCUUGUUGGUGGGGUAGUGGCUUACCAAGGCUUUGACGGGUAGCCGGCCUGAGAGGGUGACCGGACGCGGUGGGUACGCGUGGGCGGCGGGAGUCCGGGGGGGGGCAGGGGGGGGGAGUGACGGACGGGGGGCGGGAGGCGGGGCCGGCGACGCGGGGGGGGGGGUGGCGGGCGGGGGGGUGUAAGCCGGUUGUGCGGGAGCCGAGGCGUUAGUGACGGUAGUGAGUAAAGCAGCACCGUCAGAAGACGCGCCAGCGGCCGGGGUAAGAGGAGGAAGAGCAACCGUCGGACC